rnacentral:rRNA from 1 species
GACGAACGCUGGCGGCGUGCUUAACACAUGCAAGUCGAACGGAAAGGCCCUGCUUUUGUGGGGUGCUCGAGUGGCGAACGGGUGAGUAACACGUGAGUAACCUGCCCUUGACUUUGGGAUAACUUCAGGAAACUGGGGCUAAUACCGGAUAGGAGCUCCUGCUGCAUGGUGGGGGUUGGAAAGUUUCGGCGGUUGGGGAUGGACUCGCGGCUUAUCAGCUUGUUGGUGGGGUAGUGGCUUACCAAGGCUUUGACGGGUAGCCGGCCUGAGAGGGUGACCGGCCACAUUGGGACUGAGAUACGGCCCAGACUCCUACGGGAGGCAGCAGUGGGGAAUAUUGCACAAUGGGCGGAAGCCUGAUGCAGCAACGCCGCGUGCGGGAUGACGGCCUUCGGGUUGUAAACCGCCUUCGCCUGUGACGAAGCGUGAGUGACGGUAAUGGGUAAAGAAGCACCGGCUAACUAUGUG